UAGAAAGCCAUUAACACAGUGCGUAGCACACAAUGAAAGCCCAAGAAAUGUGAUUAAUAGUAAAAAAAAAAAUAAAAAAAAAUUAAUGCAUCUAAUAAUACCAAAUGUUAGUCAGAGUGUGGGGAAACAGGAUGAAACUCCCCCCCCCCCCAGGUGUGGCUAUAUACAUACAUAUCAACUACUACACUUUCCGUGAAAGUUGAUUUUUUAUCAACACACAAAUGGACCUAAGCUUCUUUUACUUUAAAGUACCUCAUCCAGCUGAAGCAAUGCUCCCAAAUAGCUUGAGAAUGGUGGUUGCAGUUAUUUUGGAAAUGUUAACUGGGUUGAUCACCCCACAUUCAGUAGCUCCUCUCUGGUGACGGUUCAACAGAGCGGCUGCAUACUCUCAGAGAUUAAUCUUCCCUUAGAAGGAACCUUUUCCUUCCCACUGAAAUCGUCCUAAACCGUCUGCUCGCACGAAUUUAAAGACUGGAUUACAGUUUGAGUUCCUUAGCCCAGAAAAUCGGGCUGACUCAUGGACUUUUCACGUGAUCUUUGGCAAGGAAAUUCCUACGUCGGUGUAAUUCCAGGAAGGCUCAACAGAUGGCACAAAGUCGUUUCUGUGGCACCGCUUUGCUUAAACCAGGGACCUGCCUUCGGUCAGGCGCUCGGUUUCCCUUGCGUUUUGGAAAGGACUUUCCUCUUCUCCUGGGAAAGGAACACCGCGUGGCUGGAACAUCUAGACUACGGUUAA
rnacentral:lncRNA from 1 species